AACGAACGCUGGCGGCAGGCUUAACACAUGCAAGUCGAGCGCCCCGCAAGGGGAGCGGCAGACGGGUGAGUAACACGUGGGGAUCUGCCCAAUGGUACGGAAUAGCUCCGGGAAACUGGAAAUAAUACCGUAUGUGCCCGCAAGGGGAAAGAUUUAUCGCCAUUGGAUGAACCCGCGUCGGAUUAGCUAGUUGGUGCGGUAAAGGCGCACCAAGGCGACGAUCCGUAGCUGGUCUGAGAGGAUGAUCAGCCACACUGGGACUGAGACACGGCCCAGACUCCUACGGGAGGCAGCAGUGGGGAAUAUUGGACAAUGGGCGCAAGCCUGAUCCAGCCAUGCCGCGUGAGUGAUGAAGGCCUUAGGGUUGUAAAGCUCUUUCGCCGACGAAGAUAAUGACGGUAGUCGGAGAAGAAGCCCCGGCUAACUUCGCGCCAGCCGCCGCGGUAACAC
rnacentral:rRNA from 1 species